CAGAGUUCGUGCCCUCACGGGUAGAUCUCCCACCCUGUGUUAUUAUACCUUUGUUGCUUUGGCGGGCCGCCCUCGGCUACCGGCCCCGGCUGGUACGCGCCCGCCGGAGGACCCAAACUCUUUGUUUCUGCAAGCGGAUUCUUCUGAGUGGCUAUAAGCAACAAAUAAAUCA
rnacentral:misc_RNA from 1 species